AUUGAACGCUGGCGGCAGGCCUAACACAUGCAAGUCGAGCGGAUGAAGGGAGCUUGCUCCUGGAUUCAGCGGCGGACGGGUGAGUAAUGCCUAGGAAUCUGCCUGGUAGUGGGGGAUAACGUCCGGAAACGGGCGCUAAUACCGCAUACGUCCUGAGGGAGAAAGUGGGGGAUCUUCGGACCUCACGCUAUCAGAUGAGCCUAGGUCGGAUUAGCUAGUUGGUGGGGUAAAGGCCUACCAAGGCGACGAUCCGUAACUGGUCUGAGAGGAUGAUCAGUCACACUGGAACUGAGAAACGGUCCAGAGUCCUACGGGAGGCAGCAGUGGGGAAUAUUGGACAAUGGGCGAAAGCCUGAUCCAGCCAUGCCGCGUGUGUGAAGAAGGUCUUCGGAUUGUAAAGCACUUUAAGUUGGGAGGAAGGGCAGUAAGUUAAUACCUUGCUGUUUUGACGUUACCAACAGAAUAAGCACCGGCUAACUUCGUG
rnacentral:rRNA from 1 species